CCUACGGGAGGCAGCAGUGAGGAAUAUUGGUCAAUGGACGCAAGUCUGAACCAGCCAUGCCGCGUGCAGGAAGACGGCUCUAUGAGUUGUAAACUGCUUUUGUACGAGGGUAAACGCAGAUACGCGUAUCUGUCUGAAAGUAUCGUACGAAUAAGGAUCGGCUAACUCCGUGCCAGCAGCCGCGGUAAUACGGAGGAUUCAAGCGUUAUCCGGAUUUAUUGGGUUUAAAGGGUGCGUAGGCGGUCGGAUAAGUUAGAGGUGAAAUCCCGAGGCGUAACUUCGGAAUUGCCUUUGAUACUGUUCGGCUAGAGAGUAGUUGCGGUAGGCGGAAUGUAUGGUGUAGCGGUGAAAUGCUUAGAGAUCAUACAGAACACCGAUUGCGAAGGCAGCUUACCAAGCUACUUCUGACGUUGAGGCACGAAAGCGUGGGUAUCAAACAGGAUUAGAUACCUAGUAGUC
rnacentral:rRNA from 1 species